ACAGCAGUAGCCGCGGGAAUACGUAGGGGGCGAGCGUUGUCCGAAGUUACUGGGCGUAAAGCGCGCGUAGGCGGCUUCUUAAGUCUGAGGUGAAAGGUUCAACGCUUAACGUGAACAGUGCCUUGGAUACUGGGGAGCUUGAGUAUGGGAGAGGGCAGUGGAAUGGCUGGUGUAGCGGUGAAAUGCGUAGAUAUCAGUCGGAACACCCAUGGCGAAGGCAGCUGCCUGGCCUAAUACUGACGCUGAGGUGCGAAAGCGUGGGGAGCGAACGGGAUUAGAUACCCCCGUAGUCCCUGUCUCUUAUA
rnacentral:rRNA from 1 species